AGAGUUUGAUCCUGGCUCAGAUUGAACGCUGGCGGCAUGCCUUACACAUGCAAGUCGAACGGCAGCACGGGGGCAACCCUGGUGGCGAGUGGCGAACGGGUGAGUAAUACAUCGGAACGUGUCCUGUAGUGGGGGAUAGCCCGGCGAAAGCCGGAUUAAUACCGCAUACGAUCUAGGGAUGAAAGCGGGGGAUCUUCGGACCUCGCGCUGGAGGGGCGGCCGAUGGCAGAUUAGCUAGUUGGUGGGGUAAAGGCCUACCAAGGCGACGAUCUGUAGCUGGUCUGAGAGGACGACCAGCCACACUGGGACUGAGACACGGCCCAGACUCCUACGGGAGGCAGCAGUGGGGAAUUUUGGACAAUGGGGGCAACCCUGAUCCAGCAAUGCCGCGUGUGUGAAGAAGGCCUUCGGGUUGUAAAGCACUUUUGUCCGGAAAGAAAACAUCCUGGCUAAUACCUGGGGUGGAUGACGGUACCGGAAGAAUAAGCACCGGCUAACUACGUGCCAGCAGCCGCGGUAAUACGUAGGGUGCGAGCGUUAAUCGGAAUUACUGGGCGUAAAGCGUGCGCAGGCGGUUCGCUAAGACCGAUGUGAAAUCCCCGGGCUUAACCUGGGAACUGCAUUGGUGACUGGCGGCUAGAGUAUGGCAGAGGGGGGUAGAAUUCCACGUAGCAGUGAAAUGCGUAGAGAUGUGGAGGAAUACCGAUGGCGAAGGCAGCCCCCUGGGCCAAUACUGACGCUCAUGCACGAAAGCGUGGGGAGCAAACAGGAUUAGAUACCCCCGUAGUCC
rnacentral:rRNA from 1 species